AUUUUGGGAAAAUUGUAUCAAUUUUUGUGAAUUUUCUUCUUAUUUGGAUUUAAUUGUGUGUGAUUUCACCUGGAAAAUGUCCACAUUCAAUACGUGGAGAUUCCCAGUUCUAUUUGGUGGCUUCCUUGCAUUUGCAGCUGUUGGUUUUAACUAUCGAGAAAAACUCUUCCCGGACAUUGAGCAACAGCGUGAAGCACUCUACAAUGAAGAUAAAGAAGGGUUGAAGCUAAUAAAAGAGACAAUAGCGGAGGCGAAAAUGAAGAAAACAUCUUGAGGAUAUUUUUUUUCUUUGUAUUCACUGCAUUUCUAUAGAAUUUAAUAAAACAUCUCUCCGUGAUUAA